UCCGUAGGUGAACCUGCGGAGGGAUCAUUACACAAAUAUGAAGGCGGGCUGGAACCUCUCGGGGUUACAGCCUUGCUGAAUUAUUCACCCUUGUCUUUUGCGUACUUCUUGUUUCCUUGGUGGGUUCGCCCACCACUAGGACAAACAUAAACCUUUUGUAAUUGCAAUCAGCGUCAGUAACAAAUUAAUAAUUACAACUUUCAACAACGGAUCUCUUGGUUCUGGCAUCGAUGAAGAACGCAGCGAAAUGCGAUAAGUAGUGUGAAUUGCAGAAUUCAGUGAAUCAUCGAAUCUUUGAACGCACAUUGCGCCCUUUGGUAUUCCAAAGGGCAUGCCUGUUCGAGCGUCAUUUGUACCCUCAAGCUUUGCUUGGUGUUGGGCGUCUUGUCUCUAGCUUUGCUGGAGACUCGCCUUAAAGUAAUUGGCAGCCGGCCUACUGGUUUCGGAGCGCAGCACAAGUCGCACUCUCUAUCAGCAAAGGUCUAGCAUCCACUAAGCCUUUUUUUCAACUUUUGACCUCGGAUCAGGUWGGGAUACCCGCUGAACUUAAGCAUAUCAAUAAGCGGAGGA
rnacentral:rRNA from 1 species